UCGGCAGUGAUGAGGCUCUAACAUGUAAGAAGAAUUCCUAAUUGGUUUCUUCAGUGAGAUGUACUUGUUACGCUUGGCUUCUGAGCUUU